UUACACAUGCAAGUCGAACGGUGAACAAGGAGCUUGCUCUGGGGGAUCAGUGGCGAACGGGUGAGUAACACGUGAGCAACCUGCCCCUGACUCUGGGAUAAGCGCUGGAAACGGCGUCUAAUACUGGAUAUGUGACGUGACCGCAUGGUCUGCGUUUGGAAAGAUUUUUCGGUUGGGGAUGGGCUCGCGGCCUAUCAGCUUGUUGGUGAGGUAAUGGCUCACCAAGGCGUCGACGGGUAGCCGGCCUGAGAGGGUGACCGGCCACACUGGGACUGAGACACGGCCCAGACUCCUACGGGAGGCAGCAGUGGGGAAUAUUGCACAAUGGGCGAAAGCCUGAUGCAGCAACGCCGCGUGAGGGAUGACGGCCUUCGGGUUGUAAACCUCUUUUAGCAGGGAAGAAGCGAAAGUGACGGUACCUGCAGAAAAAGCGCCGGCUAACUACGUGCCAGCAGCCGCGGUAAUACGUAGGGCGCAAGCGUUAUCCGGAAUUAUUGGGCGUAAAGAGCUCGUAGGCGGUUUGUCGCGUCUGCUGUGAAAUCCCGAGGCUCAACCUCGGGCCUGCAGUGGGUACGGGCAGACUAGAGUGCGGUAGGGGAGAUUGGAAUUCCUGGUGUAGCGGUGGAAUGCGCAGAUAUCAGGAGGAACACCGAUGGCGAAGGCAGAUCUCUGGGCCGUAACUGACGCUGANGAGCGAAAGGGUGGGGAGCAAACAGGCUUANAUACCCUGGUAGUCCACCCCGUAAACGUUGGGAACUAGUUGUGGGGUCCAUUCCACGGAUUCCGUGACGCA
rnacentral:rRNA from 1 species